rnacentral:rRNA from 1 species
UACGUAGGGUGCAAGCGUUGUCCGGAAUUAUUGGGCGUAAAGAGCUCGUAGGCGGUCUGUCGCGUCUGCUGUGAAAACUCGGGGCUUAACCCCGGGCCUGCAGUGGGUACGGGCAGACUAGAGUGCGGUAGGGGAGACUGGAAUUCCUGGUGUAGCGGUGAAAUGCGCAGAUAUCAGGAGGAACACCGGUGGCGAAGGCGACUUCCUGGCCUGUUCUUGACGCUGAGGCGCGAAAGCUAGGGGAGCAAACGGG